rnacentral:lncRNA from 1 species
AGAGUAAUUUAAGACACUACAAUGGGGAGCAAAUGACAUGAGAAAACUUUCAGUGAGUUAUCAGCACACAUUACAUUUUCAGUGCUUUUACAAAGAAAAAAGGUGAUCUGUUUCAUUAAACAUUGAAUUGGCUAAUUCUUGCUCUAAUGUGGCUUUAAUGUCGGGAGUCACUCCUAGCUUUAAUUGACAGUUGUUAAUAUAAAAGUGAAAGUGUAACGGUGCCAUAUGUUUUAUUCCAGUGGGUGUGAUGCACUGAGAAGUGAGUUUCUUUGGGUAAUUUGCAUAAAUUGAGCUGACUGAAAUAAGAUUUUGUUCCAGGUAUUCUAGGAUACAAUACAAGAUGAUGCAAAAUUGUGUUUAAAGCUCUUACGCUGUUUAAAAAAAAAAAUUACGACUGCUUUUUGCCAUGUUUCUCUCCCCCACCUAAAAGUAAUGAGUACUGAACAUGACUGGC